rnacentral:sRNA from 1 species
AGGUGUCCCCUUCCUCCCUCAUGUGCGCACUCCCGAAGCUACGCACUAGGUCGAAGAGGAUGACCUUCCCCAAAUAGAGACGGACUGGUCUUGGGUCAAGGGUAUAUGAGUAGCUGCAUUCUCCUGCUAGAACCUCCAAACAAGCUCUCAAGGUCCAUUUGUAGGAGAAUAAAGGAUAGUCAAGCUUCCAAGACUCUAAACAUAUACAAACAAGGUUGUGCAUGUGGCAGUCUGCCAUU